GAUGAAGAACGUAGCGAAAUGCGAAAAGUUAUGUGAAUUGCAGAAUUCAGUGAACCAUCGAAUCUUUGAACGCACAUUGCGCCCGCUGGAACUCCGGCGGGCACGCCUGUCCGAGCGUCAUUUCAACCCUCAGGCCCCCCUUCGCGGGCGGGCCUGGUGUUGGGGCCCGGCCGCUACCCUGCGGCCGUCCCCUAAAUCCAGUGGCGGCCUCGCCGUGAUCCCUUGCGUAGUAAUGCACCUCGCACCGGAGAGCGCCGUGGCCACGCCGUAAAACCCCCAAUUUUCAAUGGUUGACCUCGGAUCAGGUGGGAAUACCCGCUGAACUUAAGCAUAUCAAUAAGCGGAGGA
rnacentral:misc_RNA from 1 species